CAAGAACAAAACUUUCAGCUUCUGAGGCAGUUAAAUCCUGGUAUUUUCUACCAUUACUCAAGCACAGAGACCACCUAAAAUAGUCCCACACACACACAGUCCUACUGCUUCACUGUCACAGUGCCAUCAUACUGAUAGGAACUGCUGAUGGAGAAGUGGUCAGAAAAAGAGAAACACAUUUCUGCAGACGGAUUACACCCGACAGACGGAAUAACUAUCAAAGAGUCCGAGAUGUAGCUUCAAAGGGUGAAUCCUUCUUUGACGCCGUGAGCUGACCACCCAAUGGAUGGAGACACAUUGCUUUAUGUGUCGUUCCCAGCGCGGACGUGGUGCUUUGUGAUCAACGGGACAGACGGAUAUAAAUUCACGUGGCGACGCCUUCAUGCUGACCCUCGGCCCGGGAGAGAAGGGACGACAGCGCGGCUUGUUUUAUUUCCAUGUUGCUUCGCGCUGACCGAAGUGGACCCGGGCCAAAAAUGAUUAAAAGCUGAGGAGAGAACAUCGGCCCUAGCGCUGCAACAGUUCUCCGGGAGUUCGAGGUUUGACACGGAGUCAAACACGUGUGAAAUACUGUUUAAUAAAUUUGAGCAGGGGAAAGAGGGAUCUUGGCUCUCGUUCUGACAUGUGCUAAGAGACCCCUCAGUCCGUAAUGAGCGCACAUGGAACUCCAAAUAAACACACAAAGCAAGGAGAUAAGAGUCACUUCAACAACACCGAAAAAUGUGCUACGUGGUUUCAGAGUAGCUGCAUGCUGGGAAGCUAACAACGUGUGAACAGUAUUUGUCUUUUUUUUAGUUGUCAGACAUGGGUUUGCUCCAUAAGAGAUAUUUCACUUCAUGCAAACAUGGUUUUUUCAUUUAACCUGCAGCUCUUUGCUUGCUAACUAGGUUAGAAGACCAUGUAGCACAAUUAAUCAUCUCUGAUUCCAGCACUGCCUUUCUGGACAAGGUCUGUUGUUAUUUCUUUCAUUUGAAAAAAAGAUUUAUCAUUCCCCAUCCCCGUUGAACCAUCUACUGAUUACAAAACGCAAAGCCAGAUUUCAGUUAACAGACACACAGUGCAAAUCGUGUUGUAAUGUGUUGUGAUUUGUGUGGAUGCUGAAGUAAGAGAUGUUUUUUCUUCUUUUUUUAAGAAGAGAGAACUGCAGUCUUCAUCCAGUCUAAUGCUGUAUGUACAAACAUGGCUAAUCACGUCAUUCCUCACAUGUCUGUAAUGCAGAGCCAAUACAAGUGCAACACAUAUGAAGACUUUUUUAAAAUUUUAUUUUAGUUUCUGAUCAAUAUUUCAGGGAUUUAGACAUUACUUGGAUAGACUGCAGAUUACAGGCAUCUCCUUAGUAAACAUUUAGAAGCUGAACUAGGCACCAAACAGACAACUGUAUGUUCCCUCUAAACAAAUUAGUUAUACUUGUUUUGUUCUAUUGGCGGUCAGAUGCUGCUUAGCUGUAGUGUCUUAUAUAGUGUAUAGUGUCUUUGAUUUAUUUUUCCACCUUCAUGACUAUUAUCCAUGUUAUGUUCCCAUUCAACAGUGUCUUCCCUCUAAACCUGAAAAUGGAGAGAAGUGAGAGAGGAGGAAAUGAAGCUCAAUUCUCUCUGUAUCCUCAGGGGCACUGACUCCACAAUGCGAUAAAACUACACCUACCUUUCCCCCCCCAGAUAUUCACUUAAAAGGCCCUGUACAAACAAUGAGAUAAAUGCCUUAUCCCCUGUGUUUUGCUGUUCAGCAAACCAGAACAAACACUGAUCUCUCCUGACUCAUGAUGCCACAGGUAAAAUUCUGGAGUGCGGAGAAGAACAUUCACCAUGUCAGCGAAAACAAUGUGCAGCCGAUAGCCUCAGCCAGGGGGUGUCCCGAGCUCACAUUUUUACAUGUGGUACAUUUUAACAGCUGGAUGGAUUCACGGGACAAUUCAGGUCAAAUAACGUUUGCGAAAGAGUGGAGCGGCAGCGGGAUUCAAGCCAGCGACCCCCUGGAAGUAAAUCCAGGGACCUCUUUGCUAUGGAACAUUGCCACCCGAAUGGAAGUGCAUGGAUCUGUCCGUCAUAGGAAAUAAAGCUCUGAUGGUGACGCAGUUCUUCAGCCUGUUGGAAGAUAAAGUCAUUUAUCUCCUUCAGAUCCAGGCUCAGUCCAGGCUGAGCACUUCAUAGUGAGAGGGGAAACAGAUUAGUUAUCAUGAACCAUCAACCAUUGGACACCGGAACAUUGCGUGGAUGAGACGACCGUCAGCACUGCUGGUAGCGACCUGCAACUCAGAGAAGAAGUGUGCCCGACGGUGUCUGGCCAAUCAAAUAUGGCAAACAGGUACUGUAUAUCCUUCCCUACCACCAUCAACACUAACAACACGGGAAAAUUCUGGAAAUCGAAACUGCCGUGGAACAUGAUAUUAAGGACGUGUGUACAAACAGACAAAUGUCACCGACUGCUACAGUGCUUCUAUGCCGGGCUGCGUUUCUAAUAAAGCAAAGUUAUUACUUCCCUUUUUAGACCGGGUUCUCAUGGAGCGAGCACUGCACGAAUGAGUCAGCAAAAUGAUUAAAUAUUUACCACUCCUGGAUGUCUGGCCUCGUCGCAUUCCUUUUGGUGAGGAGGACGGAAGUGAGACGUUGUCGGAGAGGACGGGAGCGUGGCGCGCGGCCAUGAAGGACGGCGUUUCCACAGCCUAUCGGCGCAUAGCACCGGCCCCUGCGCUGUAGCUGAGGGCCCAGAGGAGUGGGAGCAAUGAGCAAUAAAUAUUAAUGAUGACGUCGUGUCAGCGUUACGCGAGAGAACGGGAGGAAGGAUGGAUACGCGCUGGCUGCCGCCUUCACGAGCAAAGUCAAUUUUUCAGAAAACAAAAGCAGCCCGACUGACGCCUCGGCUGCCGGUUACGGUAACGGAGUUCAGACGGUCGUGCCGUCAAAAAAUGUAAUUAGGGCUGCCGUCCAAGGAACCUGCUCGGAUGAAAACCGUUUGGACUCACAUCAGCAGCAGAAAUCUGUGCCGAGUUUCGGUUUCACCUCAAUCAAGCACACUAGAGCCUGGUUGGCUAAGUUUCCUGAAUGUGCCCUGUCAACAUAUCCGUCCUUAAUCAUGUGAAUAUUCACUCAUAAUGUGAAUAUCCAUACUUAAUUGUGUGAUUUAUGUUGAUGUUCAAUCAUAAUGUCACCAUUAGGCACACCUGUGCAAGUGUCACUGAAGGGUAAUGAUCGAUGAAAGUACAAUACAUUAAGAUACUUAAAAAUGGAUGUAAGAAACACAAGCACUCUUCGAUUAUUAUGCCCAGCACAACACACAGAGGCAUUAUGAAUGCAUGUUCAAAAUGUAUUCAUUCAAAUGUCUGAAAGCAUCCCAGCCUGCAAAGACAGAUAAACAGUCAUUCUGUAAUGGGACAGUAGCUUUCGAUCAGAUGGACAGAGAGGGAAAGAAAAAGAAAUAAAGAGAGAAAAGGAUUCUGUUACUAGAAUGCAGGUUAAAAGUCAUCUUUCAAAGGCAGUAGAUAAUAGCUCUGUAGACUGUAAAUAAUAAAAAAACACACAAAAAGCAUGACAGCAAGCAAAAUGCACCACUGUCACGAGAGCAUUUUCAUCGACGGACGGGACCUAAGCUGAAAGGUCAGUCGUUAAUGAAAUAAUCUAUCACCUUGGGAUUGAGAGCGGGCGCUAACGCAGGUGAUCAAUUUCUAGGGCGUUAAAAGGUCUGCAGCAGAGUUUUCCCGGGAAGUCACCUAGUUAAUGCCGGCCUUUUGAGCGCGCAGUGGGUUAGUACCGUCGGACAACGAGCAGCAUCGACCCUUCUCCCGCUGUGUCCGGAGCCGCUCGCCACCAUUUAAAAUGUCAUUUCCUUUCACUCUGCUCCGGCUUAAAAAAAAAAAAAAAAAAAAAAAAAAACGGGGUCGGAACGGAUGCAUUAAAAACCGAUGUUUGGAAGAGGGAAGAGAAAGUGUAAUCACGUGACCGAGGCGUUUCUAUUGCACGUGAGAGGAAAUGCAUUGUCAGGGAAUCAUUCUAAUAUAUUUACUGCCAGUGACGGCCACUCCAUCCCGCUAAUGUGUUUGCGUUCCAGCACGGGCGCUGGAUUUCAGCGAGAAAUCCAGGAAGGUCUUGUUUGAAAACAAAAGCUCAGAUUGCAAUUUCGACAGAUGCUACUAAGAGAAGCAAUAAUUAUGCAAAUUUGAAAUGGAAUAAUCACUUCUGCAUACAUUAUUUAUCAGGAUUAUUUUUCUUUUAUGCCGUUAUAAACUGGCUAUGAGGUAAAUAAGAUUGUGUGUUUUUGCAACUUUAAUUAUGCAGUUUUCUAUUGUUUGUUUCAAAAAAAAUAUUUAUAAUUUCAACAUGUCUAUAGGGUAGAACCAUGAUAAUUACUCAUUAAUAUUUCAAGAAAUGUUCAGUAAUGUAAAGAAAAUUCCCCUCAUUUGCAACAGUAUUGUGAUGUGCAAUAGGUAUGGGGUUAAAAAAAAAAACACAAUAUCUAAAUUUUAGCUUUUACAUUUUUUUUCUGUUGUGCAAGUACACAUUUAACACAAUACACAAUGUUCAAGUAAAAUAAGAAAUACUUCCAAAUAACAAACAUAUCAGGGGUUCUUUGAGGUAAUGGUGAUAAUUAAGAAUAAUAUAUUAGAAUUAAUGCAGACCUGCUCAUGACUAUGUAGUAUAAUGAAAUGGAAUUAGAACAUGCAAUUAAAAUCCAAGCAAAUUUGAAUUUCCAUUCUCCCAAUCUCAAAAUUUCCUCUACUGCUUGUUUCUGAUUAUUUCACCAAACACAGCAGGAUGCAUUGCUUCUGGGAGCAGAAUAAUUAAAAGCUGUGAUUUUCCUUCCUCAGGUCUUAUCAGCACAUUUCGGUACACCUGUAUCAACAAUGCAUCAUGAGAUAGUACACUAUCGCUCUGCUUUUGUGUAACUAUUGCAAAAUGAGAGAGAAAAAUACACAGGAUCUCCUCAUUUACUUCGGGUUAUUAUAGCCCGAGAACAUUACGUUUAACCAUCUGCUCUGAUUCGCAAUAGUUUGUUCAGAUUUAUCUGUGUCUGGGCCUCUGGAAAGUCAUUGAUUUCAGUUUGGAAUACCAUUCCAGUUCCUGCUCCUUCCGGUUCAGAGCAUCUUUACACUGGGACAUUUGGGGGGGGGGGCGGGAAAUACUGUAAAAUGUAUCCAGGAGAGGGAUUUUGCUUGCUUGUGCUCACAGGGGUAUGUGAAAGAACAGGAUUACUUCUUAAAGGGAAAGACGUUCUGAAUUCUGACAGUUAGUCUGCCUGUGAUGUUUGGACAGAAAUGAAGCUGGAAUUAUAAGGUAUUGGAGGAAUGUUUUUUCAAGCCAGAAGAAAAAAAAAUGCGUGAGGCGUGGAUUUUGAACAGUUGGGAGUAGUGGCUUAAUUUUUCAUACAGAAUUCCACUGAAGUGAGUAACUUUGGAUCAACUUACAGAGCUCAAGAAGCCAUAAAGCAUGAGUAACACUUGUAUUUAUGAAUAUCAAAUAGACCGUGUCUGCUCCACGUUUGACAGGGAAAGAGAGAAAGGGAGCAAGAGCAAAACAGAACUUUGUAUUUCAUGUGGUUAAAUUUCACACCUGGGUGGCAAAAAUCUGCGCUUAUAAAUGCUUAUAGCAAUUUGCCUCAACUUUUCUUCUUGCACCACCACCAAGGUCCUUCAUGCAUGGACUGUUCCAGUUGAUAAAAUAACAUUUUCUUUGAAAAUGGAAUUCUGGCAACAUAAUACCUAUAAGCAAACCCGAAUUCCACAUUGCUGUUGAUGUGGACAAGUAUGCAUAUAUUUCCAAAGGUUUUUAUGUCAACUUGUGCUUCAACAUAAGAGUAAACAUAAAGAUGUAGGAACCUCACCAAAAUAGCUGCGAUUCUAUGGUAGUUUAAAUUGUAUAGUCCAAACUAUACAUAAAAUAAGCAAUGAUGACAUUUGCGUCCACAGCUAGCUUGGGGCUAUGGUGGGUUAUGAAGAUUGGCCUGCUGCCUCAUCAAAGAGCGCUAUGUACUCCGUCAUUGUGAGCUGGUCAUUGUUACCUUUGAUGGGUUCUUUAUAGUCACCUGUCAUUUACGAUAACAAUGUCACUGGAUGAAGCACCAAUUACUUUCCUUUCCCCAGUGGGCUUCUGGUGACUGUAUAAAGGUACUUAUUUGUAAUGCAUCACAACUAAAAGUGACUAUAGUGAACUCUUUCUGCAGAAAUAAAUCUAUAUGGAUAAAUCUUGUUGUACCUGGUUAUUCUGAACAUACACAGUUUUUAAACUGAACUGUUUCAUUAAUAUUUUUGUAUUUUUUUAUUUUUAUUAUUGGUUUAGUCCAGUAUAACCAUGCUCCUUCAGAGAUAAUAAGAACACUGACUUUUGCAAGAA